CGUAGGGUGCGAGCGUUAUCCGGAAUUAUUGGGCGUAAAGAGCUCGUAGGCGGUUUGUCGCGUCUGUCGUGAAAGUCCCGGGGGCUUAACCCCGGAUCUGCGGUGGGGUACGGGGCGAGACUAGAGUGCAGUAGGGGAGACUGGAAUUCCUGGUGUAGCGGUGGAAUGCGCAGAUAUCAGGAGGAACACCGAUGGCGAAGGCAGGUCUCUGGGCUGUAACUGACGCUGAGGAGCGAAAGCAUGGGGGAGGCGAACAGGAUU
rnacentral:rRNA from 1 species